UGAAGAUGUGGCUCAGAGGUAGAGCACUUGCCUGGCAUGCAUGAGGUCCUGAUUCAAUUCCCAACACUGCAA
rnacentral:tRNA from 1 species